UUGUUUUGGUUGCAUUUGCUUUUGGGUCUUAAUCAUGAGUUAUUUGCCUAAGCCAAUGCCUACAGGAUUUUUUCUGAUGUUACCUUCAAGAAUGUUUAUGGUUUUAGGUCUUAGAUUUGAGUUUUUGAUCCAUCAUAAGUUGAUUUUUGCAUGGGGUGAGAGAUGGGAUCCAGUUUUAUUCUUCUACAUGUGGCUUGCCAGUUUUCCCAGCAUCAUUUGUUGAAUAGGGUGUCCUUUCCCUAACUUAUAUUUCUGUUUGCUUUGUCAAUCAUGAGUUGGUAGUGAGUAUUUGGCCUUGUUUUUUGGUUCUCUAUUCGGUUUCAUUACUCUGUGUGCCAUUUUUUUUAUAUCAGCAUCAUGCUGUUUUGAUAAAUAAAGCCUUGUUGUAUAAUUUGAAGUCUACCCACACUUUGCUGAGAUGGUUUAUUUUUUUAUUUCUCUUAUUUUCUUAUUUCUUUAGUUCUCCAUUUCCUAGUUGGCCCUCUAGGAAGGCAGAUGUGGCCUUUUAUCUACCAGUUCGUAGAUGCUUUCUACAGGGCUAGUUCACCUCUUAGAGUUCCUAAAAAGAACUCUUACCUACCGGGAGACUGUCUGAAGAUAAAACACUAAAUUUCUAUGAAACACACUCCCAUGAGCAGAAUACUUUAAGAAAUAUCUGUCAAUUUAGCAAUAGAAAUAUCCUGACUUAGGAAAAUGCCAACAAUCUCCUGGUAAAUUGCUCUGUAGAUAAGGCACUAGGCUAGCAGUGUAAACUCCACCUGCUCCUUUCCCUCAUCUGAAUGACCAUUAGAUUAGGCCCCCUUUAAAAGCACACCCUUUCUGUUCCAAAUCUAAAGUCAUACACUUAGACAGAAAGCCUGCACUUAUUCCCCUAGGCCAUUUUUGAAAUUAAAGAGGAACUUGCUCUUUACUAGAGUUUUUAUAUAUCACUCUUGUCACUUUGACUCUGCAAGCAGCAAGUGACUGAAUCUGCAUUCUAGUCACAAUAUUUGUGGCCCAUAUGCAGAACUGCACACUGUGGAUUAGUCUGCACCUGACAGAUAACUUUAUUGAGCAAAAAUGAGGGCACUUAGGAGUGACAGCUGCUCAUACCUGGCUGACUGUUUUGAUGAGAAUUUUCAGAAAAUUCUCAACAACUGACAGAAAUGAUUUAUGGUUUGGCACACCUCCUUUUUAUUACUCCCUUCAACACUCUUCUGAGGAAGAAAGUGACCUCCAAAAAGAUGACUAAAUUUGGAAAUAAGCUAUAUGAUUUCAAUAAGUAUUUGACCAUCCUCUGCCUCUCUCAGAGUGUCACUCUGUCCAUGCAAUUUUUGACUAUAGGUUUCUCAAAAAACUAUUUGAACAUUUUAUGCCUUUGUAUUUAUUGGCAUAUGCAGCAGCACUGAAGCUCUUCGCUUGACUGAGACUCAGCUGUCCAUGGAGCAAUUCAGAACUUGGGAGGAAGUUUCAAGGAGUUACCCAAACUAUUGAUUUGGGACUCAUUUUGAAGCACACUGUUUAUUUGAAUUUGUGAAUGCAUAAAUUUCUGUAUGAACACUAAUUUCUUCUCUACUCUGCACCUCUUGUUUCACCCUCCUAUCUGGGAGAGUCAUCUACCUGGAACACUGAGAGUUCUCACUAAUUUUUCCGUUUUAAAAAUUGAACUAAAUAUUAACAGCUGAGCCAAUUUUUAUAAAUUGAUUCUUGAGGUAAGUAAACAAAAUACUAGAGAAAGUGACCCCAAGGUGUUUUUCAUUAUUUUCUUUCUUUCUUGUACUCUGCUUGUAAAAUCUGGCUUUACAGUUACAAAAAGAUUUGUAACAAAUUUUUAUUAAUAAAAAAUCUUUGUGGCUAGGAGCAGUUUUCCUGAAGUUAAGGGGCUUUAAUUAUUUUUCUUUGUAUAAAACCUUAGAAUACAAUUACAGUAAUGUGGGACCAAAAUUUUUGCCUUUGGUUUUUGUAAAGAAACUUUUAAAAACCUUUUUUUUCUAAAGUCCUUUGAAGUUGUUUUUACAGAGAUUUGUCAACUCUUCCACAGAAGUUAUAAAAAGUUGUCAUAGGUUUAUAGAAUCUUACUUUAUAAUGAAACUAAAGAAUGCUGAAUACAUUUGUUUAUAAGGUUGUACUAUGAAUCAAGUUUAACAUUAAUAGUAAACUAAGGCAAAUGUAAAAUUUUGCUUACCUUUUAAAACCAGAUAUUUAUGAAAAAGUAAACAAUAAUUUUGUUUUCCUUUGGAUAAAUGAUAAAGAAAAUGAGAAGAAAUACAGAUUAUCUGUCUCACAUUGUUUUAUUUGACCAGUUUUUCCCUUCAAAAAAAUGUGAGUCUACCAUGUAACAAAGUAAAAACUUUUCUUAUGUAUUUAAGACACAUUUUUCUGGGUUUUGUAACAUCAAAUGUUUAAAAUGUUUAUAUUUGAAAAGUUUUAAAAGUCUAAUUCUAAGGCAAGCCUCUACUGAUCUAUUUAUUUCCUUUCUGAAUAUGAGGUAGCCUAAAGUCCUAAAAAAAAGGCUUAUUUUGCUUAUCUGACAUAUUAAUUAUAUUUAGAAAGCAUUGUGAACUAUAUUAAUAUAAUGCUGCUUAAGCUUCUUUGAACUAUAUUGAUACAGAUUUGCCAUUACUAUGUGUCCUAUAAUUAUUCUUAGUAUAUGUUAUCAGUUGUAAUUAUAAAUAUUACUUAAAAUAUUUGUAUACCACUUAUGUAACCGAGAUUUACAGUUGAUUGUGUAUAUAGUUAUAGAAAUUUUAACAAUUUUGUCAUCAACAAUCACUCCUUUUCUUUGAUGUUUUAUAGGGCAGUGUGUAAACAGCUACAAAAUUCUAAGGAGUGCACAUAAGAAUGGGUUCCUCAUAAGUUUAGAAUUGUGCCAUUGAAAUGGAACCAAAAUCUUUCAGGACUGUCAUGUAGAAUUAAAAUAUACCUGAGGAUUGUUGAUUCAAUGUUGAUCAGACAGGGAGUAUAUUUUAAUGACAAAACUAACAAUAUUAAACUUUCAUAACUUUUUGUUAAAUCACUUUAUUAUUUUUGGUUUGUUUUCAAUAGAUAUUUUCUUUUCUUUUAAGCUACUUGCAAUUUAUAAACGUUGAAUAAGAUUCAUUACUUUGAGAAAAUUUGUCUUUUUCUGUCUCUACCAGAUAUCCCCAGAAAAUGAGGACUAUAUUUAACUGUACUUAAUAUGUAGCAGUGUAAUUAUUUGAAUACAUUCCAUUAGACUUGUAAAAUGCCAUUAUAAGCAGUUGUUAUCUUACCAAAGUUUUUUUCUGCAAUGGCAUACUUUCAGAUAUAAAGAGACUGCUUAAAAAAUCAAAGUUGACUUAAACAGUUUUUAAAAGCCCAUUGGAAAAGCUAUCUCUAUUUUUUGUCUAUGGUAUUCCUCUACAGGCUUCCUGAACUCUGAUGGUUAAAUCAUGCCCUUUUUUGACAGGCCCAGGAUCUCCAAAUUAUCUUGGCACCCUCAGUAGAGGAGUAUCCCAAUUAACACAAGUAUGCGCAUUCACAUACAAAGCAUUGGCUUAGAUCAAGGCUUUGGAAAGUCUAAUCUGUGAUCCUAAUCAAACAAAGUUCCAGCAAAGCCAAUUUAAGAGGAGGCUUUAUAACAAAUAACUUUUAUUCUAACAUUCAAUGCCAAUACUCAGGCAAAGUAGAAUUUCAAAAAACUAAAUUUUUGAACAAAUUGCCCUUACUAUUAUUUGUCUUUUAUAAAAACAGGAACUGAAAGAGGAUAAUUAAAAAGUAAUGUAUAAAACUAAUAAUUAUAAUAAAAGAAGCAUAACUUGAGAGAGGAUGAUAAUUUUAAAACUCCAGUACACAAGAUGUUAGAUUCUAGUACUGCCCGCUGUUUUUGAGUUUUUAUUACUUUCCAGCAUUUAGACUAAAUGCUAUGUGCUUCUUGGACUAAACUUACCAAGUUCGUGCAUAUAUACGUGUGUGUGUGUGUGUGUGUGUGUGUGUGUGUGUGUGUGUGUGUGUGUGUUUGUGUUUCUGAUUUGGUCUCCAUGAAAACCCUCCUACACUAUUCCUUUUAAAAGAGGCCCCCCAAAAAGUGUUAAACCACCACCAUAUUCCUUCUCUGUAAAUAAUAAUGCUUUUAGUUUGACAUCUUAAUAAAUUGGUCAGACAUUAAACUGUAUAUUUCUUUUAUUUCCACAGAAAUGUCUCUUAUUAAAAAUUUGAGUGCCUUCUUCACAUGCAGAUUACCAGCUCAUUUGCAAUGCCACCUUUUGUGUGGGGCAAAAUUAUUUAAUCUGAUUUAUUCUCCGAAAGUAGACAGGGUGGACAACACAUUAUUUUUCUGCCUAACUUCUCAUCAUAUUUACUUAUGAUUGGUCAUGAGAACUUUGUGAAAUAAUUAAGACUAACUUCUGUGUGUACAUUCAAGAACAUUUAGAAAAUCUAUCAGCCCUAGGAUAUGGACCAACAAAUUAAAGCUGUGUCUGACUCCUUGCUCAUACUAAAUAAAUAGUUAGAAUUCUUUAUCAGGUCAGAAAAUUUUGUUUGUGAGGGCUGCUGUUACCUUUUGACCUGGUUGCAAGAAGAGUCAUACUUCUGCACUGCAGAUUGUACUGUUGUUGCACCCUCAGUAUGGGGUUACAAGACUGGCUUCUUCAGAGACCUUGCAGACCUGGCAUCCUCAUGAUCUAACAGAUAGCUCUAAAUUUUUUAUACUCAUGAAUACUUCUAACUUCAAAUAGAUCAUUUCCACUUUGAAACCCAAUAUUUCUGCCCCUUUUCAGCAGAAAGUAUCCCGAAUGAGUACAACAAACAAUUCCAUAGAAAUGGAAUAAAACAGAAGUGGAGUAUUGUUACCAAAUGCUUUUAUUUUUCUAAGAGAUACAUUAAUUAUAUUGCCUUUUAACUCAUCUUUUCUCCUUCCUACAGUCUAUUUUAUACUUAACCCUUUAACAAUUAAAACAAUCUUUUGACUCCUCUUUGUGAGGCCCUUACUACAAGUUUAUUUAACUAUGUUCUUGGAAGCUUCAGGAAAGAAAAGGCCAACAAUCACAUACUUAGGUGCCCAGCAGAAAAGGCAAAAGUUGUACAUGCUAACCACUCACCUGUUUGCUUCUCCAGGCCUGUAUUUCAUUUGUGCUUAAGGGCCAUUUGAAAAUGCUUCCUUAGAUUAAGUUUAGAAGUUGAAAUUAGAAUCUGCUAAAUGCAAUGGAGAUUAAAUGUGUUAAGACUUCCAUAUUCUUAUGGAGGAGACCUUUAUGUGAAAUAAAUGCCUACAGUUGACAGACAGUAAGUACCCUUAACAUCUGCUUCUGGGAAAAUAGUUAAGUUCUCCUGUCUCUGUUAAUUAAAUGGAAAACACCGUUGCAUCAAUUCAGUUACUGUUAUAAAAGUUGGCAGGAUCUUAAUCUUGUGCCUUUUUCCAGGGCCAAUAGUUAACUUCCAAAAAGACUGCUCAUAGACUAUGAGCAUACAGAAAGCUACUACUUUCUUUCUUUCUUUUUCUUUUUUUAAUACGGAGUCUCACCGUGUCCCCCAGGCUGACUGCAGUGACAUGAUCUCGGUUCACUGCAACAAUCUCCUGCCUACUGGAUUCAAGCGAUUCUUCAGCCUCAGCCUUGCUAGUAGCUGGGAUUACAAAGGACCUUAGGAAAAUAGAGACUUGGGCAGAUCUUCUUCUGAUGACCUGGAUAAUUUGGAGACGUUCCAAAAUUUAACUUAGUGUUCAACCUCUAGUGGAGGAAUGUUAUGCUGCUCCUAUACCAAACCUGAAAAGCUGGCAGUUCCUGAUAUUAGAAGAAAGCUACAGAAACAGGCUAUAGGACCAGAUUGUAUCUUGAAGAACCUUCUGAAUGUGGACUCAUUGGUCUUUUACAAUAGGACUGGGAGGAGGCCCAGGAGAAAAAUACAGCACAAGAGAAAGACUGAGGCUCUAGUGGCUAAAUCCAGGAUCCCACAGGAGCAUCCACUAAUUGCCACCUGUUACCACUGUAAAGCCAGGGAACUUUAAGAAUUGCACAUGCAACAAGAAAAAGCCACCUUGACCCCAUCCAGCCUGUGGUGAAGACUACUAGAGAUUGCACUACUGCCAAAAGAGACAGAGGUCACUGAGUACAGAGUCAUUGUCACAGAUGCUCCAGCAAGACUGAUGGGUUCUGAGGCUCAAACCCCUGGCUCCAGUGGUUCAAACAUCCAUUACUGCUCAGGAGUCCUGGGUGAUUCUGGAAAUUGAAGGGAGGAGGGCAAGCCUCCCACUGGAUUCUAGAGCCAGUCUUUCUGUUCUCCUCACCAAUCCAGGCCUCCCCUCUUCCCACAGCACAACAAUGGUGGGUGUCUUAAAAAAGACUCUUAACUUGAUAUUUUUCUUCACUACUUAGUGGUAGUUGUAGGGACUUAUUAUUUACACAGUCCUCCUUUAUUACGCCUGAAAGUCCCACUCCUUUAUGAGGUAAAAACAUUUUAGCCUGCAUGGGGGCCGGCAUCCUCAUGGCCCCAGAACAAACUCUUUGUCUUUCCUUAGUGGAAGCUAAUAUUAAUCCAAAAUGCGGGCAACUCAAGAAAGAAUAGGUCUAACUAAAACUGUAGGCCAGUUCAGAUCCACCUUAAAAAUCCGACUUGUUUUCAUAACCAGAGAUAACACCUGCUAAGGGCAGAGGCCAAGAAAGGGCUAGAAGCUAUUAUUAGUAAUAAGCUGAAAUUCAGGCCUCCUCAAACCCUGUAACAGUCUUUGCCACACUCUCAUAGUAGGAGUUCAAAACCCAAUAAAUAAUGGAGGUUAGUUCAGUACCACCACCUCAUUAAUGAGGCUGUAGUCCCAAUACAUCCAGUAGUCUCUAAUUCCUACAUGUUGCUGACCCAAAUACCUGAAGGAACUAAAUGUUUUACAGUCCUAAAUCUAAAGGAUGCUCUUUUCUGCAUACCAUAACAUCCUGACUCUCAAUACAUCUUGGUCUGUAAGGGUCCCUCCUGCCGAAACUGCCAGUUAACAUGGACAUGGAUGGUGCUACCUCAGGAAUUUAAAAACAGCCCUUACUUGUUUGGAUAAGCCUUGUCAAAGGACCUUUCUAAGUUCUCCCAUCCUACAGUCAGCAUCUUGCAGUGUGUAAGUGAGACUCUCCUCUUUGCCUUAGUCAAGGAAGUCUCAGGAAGGCACUAAGACUCUCCUCAGUUUCUUAGCUGAAAAGGAAUAGAAGGUCUCAAAAUAUAGGGUUCAACUCUGUCAGACUUCAUUAAAGCACCUAGUAUCCGGAGGAACCAGAACACCAGCUUUGCUGCUAAAGGUAUCUGCAGUCCAACUGAAAACCAGUUCUUGCCUGCGCUCAGCCACUUUCUCCCAGAGAAAAUUGGAGAACCUGAACAUGACUGUGAACAGGACGCUAGAAUGACUUCUGAUGGCCUGUAACUCCUCGUGAAAACAGAAAAGGCAUCACAAAUCCAAUUUUGGUGAAAAAAAUCUCUGUUUUUCUUAUGGAACCCCUGGAAUUAAAAGUGAGUAAGAACCUCUCAAAA